rnacentral:rRNA from 1 species
UACGUAGGUGGCAAGCGUUGUCCGGAUUUAUUGGGUUUAAAGGGUGCGUAGGCGGUUCUAUAAGUCAGUGGUGAAAUCCGGCAGCUCAACUGUCGAUGUGCCAUUGAUACUGCAGAACUUGAGUACAGACGAGGUAGGCGGAAUUGACGGUGUAGCGGUGAAAUGCUUAGAUAUCGUCAAGAACACCCGAUAGCGAAGGCAGCUUACUAGACUGUAACUGACGCUGAUGCACGAAAGUGUGGGGAUCGAAAC